CUACGGGUCGCUGCAGUGGGGAAUAUUGGACAAUGGGGGAAACCCUGAUCCAGCAAUGCCGCGUGUGUGAAGAAGGCCUGCGGGUUGUAAAGCACUUUCGGUUGGGAGGACUGCUUCUAGCACUAAUAUUGUUGGAAGUUGACGUUACCUUCAGAAGAAGCACCGGCUAACUCCGUGCCAGCAGCCGCGGUAAUACGGAGGGUACAAGCGUUAAUCGGAAUUACUGGGCGUAAAGCGCGCGUAGGCGGCUAGAUCAGUCGGGUGUGAAAGCCCCGGGCUUAACCUGGGAACUGCAUCCGAUACUGUCUAGCUUGAGUACAGGAGAGGAGAGUGGAAUUCCACAUGUAGCGGUGAUAUGCGUAGAUAUGUGGAGGAACACCAAUGGCGAAGGCAGCUCUCUGGCCUGAUACUGACGCUGAGGUGCGAAAGCGUGGGGAGCAAACAGGAUUAGAUACCCUCGUAGUC
rnacentral:rRNA from 1 species